CCUACGGGAGGCAGCAGUGAGGAAUAUUGGUCAAUGGACGAGAGUCUGAACCAGCCAAGUAGCGUGAAGGAUGACUGCCCUAUGGGUUGUAAACUUGUUUUAUAUGGGAAUAAAACAGGGUAUGCAUACCCUCUUGUAUGUACCAUAUGAAUAAGGAUCGGCUAACUCCGUGCCAGCAGCCGCGGUAAUACGGAGGAUCCGAGCGUUAUCCGGAUUUAUUGGGGUUAAAGGGAGCGUAGGUGGAUUGUUAAGUCAGUUGUGAAAGUUUGCGGCUCAACCGUAAAAUUGCAGUUGAAACUGGCAGUCGUGAGUACAGUAGAGGAGGGCGGAAUUCGUGGUGUAGCGGUGAAAUGCUUAGAUAUCACGAAGAACUCCGAUUGCGAAGGCAGCUCACUGGACUGCAACUGACACUGAUGCUCGAAAGUGUGGGUAUCAAACAGGAUUAGAUACCCCAGUAGUC
rnacentral:rRNA from 1 species